rnacentral:tRNA from 1 species
CGGGGAGUGGCGCAGUCUGGUAGCGCACACGGUUUGGGUCCGUGGGGUCGGAGGUUCGAAUCCUCUCUCCCCGACCA